rnacentral:RNase_P_RNA from 1 species
AGAGUAGGUGAGGUGGUUGCGAGUUCGCUCGUCGAAUUCGAGGAAAGUCCGGGCUUCCUAAAGACCAAACUUGCUGGGUAAUUCCCAGUGCGAGCGAUCGUGAGGAUAGUGCCACAGAAAAAUACCGCCAAUUUAGGCUUUAGGCUUUAGGCUUUAGGCUUUAGGCUUUAGAAAAUAGGGAAACACCCUAAUAUCUACCUCCUAACACCUAACACCUAAAGCCUAAAGCCUAGACUGGUAAGGGUGCAAAGGUGCGGUAAGAGCGCACCAGCAGUAUCGAGAGGUACUGGCUCGGUAAACCCCGGUUGGAAGCAAGGCAGGAUCAGUGGUUGGUCUUUUCCCCGUUCCGUUACGAUCCGCUUGAGGUACUUGGUAACAAACUACCCAGAUAGAUAACCGCCGUCUCGCAAGAGAUAACAGAACCCGGCUUACGUUCCAACUCUCUGU